AUAUGUCUUUGUCUAUGUAUGGCUCUAUCUCUAUCUCUGUCUAUUUCCUGGAGAAGGAGAUGGGGUGAUAACUCAGGACCAGAAUGUUUGAGCCUCACAGAAAGGCUGUGUCAGUAAGUUAUACUGUGAUAACAAGCAACCCCCAAAUCUGAAUGAUUUUAAAAUUUAUUUAUUUAUUUAUUGGCUGCAGCAUGCAGGGUCCCGAUAUGGGAUCUCAGUUUUCCAGUCCAGGUGCUGAACCUGGGCCACAUGGGUGAAAGCACCAAGUCCUAACUAACCACUGGACCACCAGGGCACUCCCCAAAUCUGAAUGACUUUAAACUCCAUAGUUUUAUUUCUCACUCGUGUUACAUGUUCACUUUGAGCAAUUAGGAUGGCUUAUCACACAGGAACCUUGCCACCAUCUCACAUGUUGUCAUUGUCAUGUGGAGGGAGAAAAGAACUCCAAACAGCCCUGCUCUGGCAAUUAAGUGAUCCCUCUUGGAAUUGACAAGCACCAAGAAUUCUACUCACACCAUUGCCCAGAAUGAAUGACAUGGCCCCAUUUCCACAAAGGAGCCAGGAAGUACAGUCCUGUCAGUGGCCCAGGGAGGAGAGAAUUGGACGUAUUUGGCAGAUAGUUUUACUCAUCCCUGAAAGGCCAAAUUAGAGGGGUUCUGACAGAAGGAAGAAGCCACAGCUCAGAGUGUACAGGAAAGAACCGGAAGUGGAGUGGCUCCUGAAGACACAAGAAGAGGAGGUGCCCUGUACUAAAAACAGAACAAUUCACCCAAGUCCCAUAAUAGGAAUAGUUUGGGAGGGUGAUGCCCGCCUGUACCCUAGAGUUGAGAGAAAUAGGAGCGCUUUUUAUUUUAUUUUAUUUUUUUGCUUUUUAGGGCCACACCUGCAGCAUAUGGAAAUGCCUAGGCCAGGGGUCGAAUUGAGGCUGCAGCUGCUGACCUGUGCCAUAGCAAUACCAGAUUCUUAACCCCCUGAGUGAGGCAGAGAUCAAACCCACAUCCUGCUAUCGAAGAUGCGGCUCAGAUUCUGCAUUGCUGUGGCUGUGGUGUAGGCCAGCGGCUAAAGCUCUGAUUUGACCCCUAGCCUGGGAACUUCCAUAAUGCGGUGGGUGCGGCCCUAAAAUGGAAAAAACAAAACAAAACAAAAAAACACAUAACGAAAACCUAUCAGCGCCACCUCCCCUGCACGUGCCAUCCACAUCUACACUCAGGACUUCUCCGAGUUUUGCUAAGCUGGUUGGUGGUCUCUUUGACAUUAGUUUGUUUUGCUUUAAUUUUCCCGUACUGCCGAGUCCCAGGGUAUCAUUUUAGGACUGCCUUUAUCUCAGGUAUUUCUAGCUUUUAAUCCACACGGUUUCAAGAAGUCACUUAGUGGCUCUGUGCCCUGGUUUCCUGCUCUGUGAAAUGGGAAAAAUACCUUUUUCUUCCCAGUUCCCAGGCUUUUGAUGUUCUUUGUUUUUCUUCCUCGGCUCCAUCUUUACUUUAUGCUGUCUUGUGAUUUUGUGUGUCCUUAAAGCCACCUUCCAUCCUCAAUGGGAAAAGUUAGGGUUAUAAAUAAAUAAAGAACUACAUAAAUAAAAUAGAGUAGCUAUGAAAGCACUGACAGAAGUUCAAAUCGUCAUACACAUAAGAGACAUUUUUAGCCAAUAAGCGUUACCAGUGGCAGAGGUUGGAAAAUGCACUUUGUCAUUUUGUCUGUUGAGCUUAGAAAUGUUCAAAUCCUUGUAGACUUAAUGUGAUAGCUACAAAAGAUAGGACAUUAGAAAAACUUGGAGGAGAUAAACUUGCUUUGGUCCUUUGAGAAUAGAACCUCUGAAUUAGUUAAGUGGCGGAGCUAAGAAUAUUCUUUUAGGACAUGUGGCCACAAGUUCCUAAAGAGAAGAAUUAACAUGAAGAUUAUAAUACAUCUGUCACCCUCAGGAAGAGUUUACUGCAAAGGUCACAUACAAAAUGUUUACAAAGGGAGGAGUUCCCGCUGUCAUGCAUUGGGAUCAGUGGCGUCUUGGGAGCACUGGGACGCAGGUUGGAGCCCCAGCCCAGUCCAGUGGGUUAAGGAUCUGGUGUGCUGCAGCUGGGGCUUAGGUCACAGCUGUGGCUUGGAUCUGAUUCCUGGCCCAGGAACCUCCUAUGCUGUGGGAAAG
rnacentral:lncRNA from 1 species